GAUGAACGCUGGCGGCGUGCCUAAUACAUGCAAGUCGAGCGAACAGACGAGGAGCUUGCUCCUCUGACGUUAGCGGCGGACGGGUGAGUAACACGUGGAUAACCCACCUAUAAGACUGGGAUAACUUCGGGAAACCGGAGCUAAUACCGGAUAAUAUAUUGAACCGCAUGGUUCAAUAGUGUAAGACGGUUUUGCUGUCACUUAUAGAUGGAUCCGCGCCGCUUUAGCUAGUUGGUAAGGUAACGGCUUACCAAGGCAACGAUGCGUAGCCGACCUGAGAGGGUGAUCGGCCACCCUGGAACUGAGGCGCGGGCCAGACUCCUACGGGAGGCAGCAGUAGGGAAUCUUCCGCAAUGGGCGGAAGCCUGACGGGGCAACGCCGCGUGAGUGAUGAAGGUCUUCGGAUCGUAAAACUCUGUUAUUAGGGAAGAACAAAUGUGUAAGUAACUAUGCACGUCUUGACGGUACCUGAACAGAAAGCCACGGCUAACUACGUG
rnacentral:rRNA from 1 species